UGAGCCAGUAUGGUGUAGUGGUUUGAGCAUUGGACUAUGACUCCGGAGAUCAGGGUUCAAAUCCUGGCUCAA